rnacentral:rRNA from 1 species
GCCAGCGGCGAUAGCACGUAGAAGAUAACAGUUCCCAAUAGCUCACUAAAGUUACUUAAGCAACGGUACGCGUGUUCUGUAUCCGAUGGGUGACCAUCUGGGUAAUCGCGUGCUACUGGCU